rnacentral:rRNA from 1 species
UCCUACGGGAGGCAGCAGUGGGGAAUCUUGCACAAUGGAGGAAACUCUGAUGCAGCGAUGCCGCGUGAGUGAAGAAGGCCCUUGGGUUGUAAAGCUCUUUCGUCGGGGAAGAAAAUGACUGUACCCGAAUAAGAAGGUCCGGCUAACUUCGUGCCAGCAGCCGCGGUAAUACGAAGGGACCUAGCGUAGUUCGGAAUUACUGGGCUUAAAGAGUUCGUAGGUGGUUGAAAAAGUUAGUGGUGAAAUCCCAGAGCUUAACUCUGGAACUGCCAUUAAAACUUUUCAGCUAGAGUAUGAUAGAGGAAAGCAGAAUUUCUAGUGUAGAGGUGAAAUUCGUAGAUAUUAGAAAGAAUACCAAUUGCGAAGGCAGCUUUCUGGAUCAUUACUGACACUGAGGAACGAAAGCAUGGGUAGCGAAGAGGAUUAGAUACCCUCGUAGUCCAUGCCGUAAACGAUGUGUGUUAGACGUUGGAAAUUUAUUUUCAGUGUCGCAGCGAAAGCGAUAAACACACCGCCUGGGGAGUACGACCGCAAGGUUAAAACUCAAAUGAAUUGACGGA